rnacentral:rRNA from 1 species
UGGGGAAUAUUGGACAAUGGGCGAAAGCCUGAUCCAGCCAUGCCGCGUGUGUGAAGAAGGUCUUCGGAUUGUAAAGCACUUUAAGUUGGGAGGAAGGGCAGUAAGCGAAUACCUUGCUGUUUUGACGUUACCGACAGAAUAAGCACCGGCUAACUCUGUGCCAGCAGCCGCGGUACUACAGAGGGUGCAAGCGUUAAUCGGAAUUACUGGGCGUAAAGCGCGCGUAGGUGGUUCGUUAAGUUGAAUGUGAAAGCCCCGGGGUCAAACUGGGAACUGCAUCCAAAACUGGAGAGCUAGAGUAAGGCAGAGGGUGGUGGAAGUUCCUGUAUAGCGGUGAAAUGCGUAGAUAUAGGGAGGAACACCAGUGGCGAAGGCGACCAGCUGGGGUCAUACUGACACUGAGGUGCGAAAGCGUGGGGAGCAAACAGG